rnacentral:rRNA from 2 species
UGCAGUCGAGCGAACAGAUGAGAAGCUUGCUUCUCUGAUGUUAGCGGCGGACGGGUGAGUAACACGUGGGUAACCUACCUAUAAGACUGGGAUAACUCCGGGAAACCGGGGCUAAUACCGGAUAAUAUUUUGAACCGCAUGGUUCAAUAGUGAAAGACGGUUUCGGCUGUCACUUAUAGAUGGACCCGCGCCGUAUUAGCUAGUUGGUAAGGUAACGGCUUACCAAGGCGACGAUACGUAGCCGACCUGAGAGGGUGAUCGGCCACACUGGAACUGAGACACGGUCCAGACUCCUACGGGAGGCAGCAGUAGGGAAUCUUCCGCAAUGGGCGAAAGCCUGACGGAGCAACGCCGCGUGAGUGAUGAAGGUCUUCGGAUCGUAAAACUCUGUUGUUAGGGAAGAACAAAUUUGUUAGUAACUGAACAAGUCUUGACG